UACGUGGGGUGCAAGCGUUAAUCGGAAUUACUGGGCGUAAAGCGUGCGCAGGCGGUUUUGUAAGACAGUGGUGAAAUCCCCGGGCUCAACCUGGGAACUGCCAUUGUGACUGCAAAGCUAGAGUGCGGCAGAGGGGGAUGGAAUUCCGCGUGUAGCAGUGAAAUGCGUAGAUAUGCGGAGGAACACCGAUGGCGAAGGCAAUCCCCUGGGCCUGCACUGACGCUCAUGCACGAAAGCGUGGGGAGCAAACAGG
rnacentral:rRNA from 1 species